GGCAGUUCUCGGUGACACACCCUGGGAAUCGGGCUCCCUCCUCUCUGGUUCCAGUGUGUCACCCAAGAACCACA
rfam:Myotis davidii contig103049, whole genome shotgun sequence.